rnacentral:rRNA from 1 species
AUGGAUGGAGCUGUAGCGCCGUUGCCAUCUUGGCUGGAACUGUGGAAUGAGUGGGAGAUCCAAACUGUUGUUGCUGCCAGCUUCAGUCUGCAGGUUAUCCUCUUCUUCUUUGCUCGGAUCCGCCGCUACAAUGUAUCAUCUGUUCUCAGGGUCCUCCUCUGGCUGGUAUAUCUGCUUGCUGAUGUCGUUGCAACAUACGCCCUGGGGCACAUGUCCUCGUCAUUGUCGAAAAAAUCAUCCAGCGAGCACCAGCUGGUGGCGUUCUGGGCGCCGUUUCUCCUGCUGCACCUCGGCGGCCAGGACACCAUCACCGCGUACGCCCUGGAGGACAAUGAACUCUGGCUGCGUCACCUGCUAAACAUGUUUGUGCAGGUUGCUUGUACUGCAUAUGUGCUCUACAAGUACAUCGUUGCGGGUGGGGUGACCUUUGUCCAUACCGCUAUGCUUGUUUUUGCCGCCGGAGUUUUCAAGUAUAGCGAGAGGAUAUGGGCGCUGAAGCUUGCAAGCAAGGGUGGUUCCCCUUACAUAGGAAGGCGAAAGCGACGACUUCAUACUUUUCGCCGGUGGAUUUAUCGUAUUCGUCAUAAGUAUUUCACAAAGAAGCAUGUUGACGUCCGCGCAUAUGAGCCUAGUGACACCCUCACAAAAAAGCCUAGUGACACCAACACCAGGAGCACAUUUGCCCAAGCAAUGAAAAGAGCCCGAAGAGCAAAGAUGGUGCUGUCGAUUCCGCAUCUGAAGAGUCCGUGGGUAGAAAAAACGGUCGAAAUAGAAGAAGGGGAAGAAGGAGACUGCUUCACCAAAAACAAACAAUUUAGAACUGAUGUAUUUAUUGUGAUGACAGCACACGUGUUGCGCCAAGUACUUGUCAAGCCUUUAAUCAUAGACAGGAAUGAGGCGUCCAUAGAUUGGGAUAAUCACCGCAUUGCCCUACUAAAGAAGGGUCUUGCACGAGAACAUCAAUGGGAAAGCGACCAGAGCAAAGAUGCAUUGGCAAAGGAGAAGAGUCAUAUUGGGGAGAUGUUCAAGAAAAUAGAGGUGCAGCUCGCCCUGAUGUACGACAUGAUGUACACCAAGGCAGAAGUGAUCCACACAGGGUAUGGCCACUGCAUCCGUGCCAUUUCACUUGUCUCUUGCUUCGCCACUCUUGUGGUCUUCACAAAAAGCAAGAGAGACUGGUACAGCACACCCGACAUUGUUAUCACUUUUGCUCUUCUGGGCGGAGCUUGUGCACUAGAGAUGGCAUCCAUUUUGAAGGCGAUUGGAUCGACCUGGACAUGUGCCAGCUUGAGACGCGGCAAGUGGAAGUGGCUGGCCAAUGCAGUUCUUUUCGCACGUUACCACAUCCUCGUGGUCAAGGAUGGAAGGUGGUCCAAUUCCGUCGGGCAAUUUGACUUCAUAUCCUUCUGUGUUCACAGCAGAAAGAUGGACCUCAAGGUUAGAAUGGCCCGCUUGAUUGGUCUCCGGGACUUGUGGCACAAAGUUCGCUGCACCAAACAUGCCAAGCUUUCUCCUGCCGUGAAGGAGUUUGUAUGGGGCUUGCUCCGAGGUGACAAGAGUCAUAUGGUACGAAUUGAAGAAGUGGACAUCCGGAGUGGGAACUGGGCUCGCAGGUUCAGCGGCGUCGCCCAGAUCAAACAGCUUGAUUGGAGCCUGAGUUAUGGAUUUCACAAGAGUGUGCUUAUUUGGCAUAUAGCAACAAGCACCUUCCUCAAUAACCCUGCCGUCAAAUCGAAGCUGGUCGACAAGGACAUGGCUGAAGCAGUGAAUACUCUCUCUGAUUACAUGAUGUACCUCCUCAUCGAGCACCGUGACAUUCUGCCCAUCAAAGCAGCUGCUAAGGACAUGUUCGAGGAAACCGGCCUCUGUUACGGUUUGCAUAUGGAAGGCUUGAGCAGACCUGUUUAUUCUUUUGAAAAGGAGGAAGGCUUGAACAGACCUAUUUUUUCUUUUGAAGAGGAUUACCCCCGGCCUCUACAUCAGAGCGAUGCAUGCCGCCAUCCAGAACCUAAUGUGGUUGAUUCUCACCAGGUAAUUCUGGACUACAAUAAAGGGAGCAGGCAUCUUAAGGACGAACCAGAUGGUGUCCUCGCGGAACGUCUUAAGUAUAUAGAAGAACUAUAUGGUGACUUGACGCAUCCCAGUUGGGAUGAUCACCGGGGGGACGCUGUGCUGGUGAAAGCAUGCACCCUUGCUCAUGCAAUGCUCAACAUGGAGCUGGAGUUGGGUCUCGCACACAUGAUGCCGAUAAUUGGAACAGUGUGGGUGGAGAUGUUGUGCCACGCAGCAACCAAUGCAUCCGGGGGAUUCCACGCCAGGCAGUUGAGCAAUGGUGGCGAGUUUCUUACCCACAUCCUGCUCCUCACUAAAUAUUCCUAUGCUAUAAACAAGAAACCAGCAAAGCCGUACAUAAAACCUGAUGAAGCUGUGGAAGCUAGUGCUUCUGGGAACGUCGUAAUAAAUGUGGAUGAUGGCUGCAACGAUGAGAUCACCGAAAUCCACCCAAUAUAG